GCCAGUCCCCACCAUUGCCAGCUGUGUGGGGCAGUCUGGGAGAGGAGCGCCUCUGCCACUGUAACAACUAGCCUUUGCUGGACUGCCUCGCCCACUCCAGCUGGGGUGCUUCACUUCUGUGAUUGCCUUUAAUGCUCCGAACAGCCCUGGGAAGUAGGGCCGAUCACCUCCAAUUCACAGGUUCAAAGUCCCUGGGUUGGGGACACUGACGGGGCUGGACAUGGCCAGGGAUUCCACCAGGGGCUUUAAGAGUCAUGGAAUUGCCGGGCGCUGUGGCUCACACCUGUAAUCCCAGGAGUUUGGGAGGCUGAGGCAGGAGGAUCACUUGAGCCCAGAAGCUUGAGACCAGCCUAGACAACAACGUGAGACCCUGUCUCUACAAAGAAAUAAAAUUAGCUGGGUGUGGUGGUGCACA
rnacentral:lncRNA from 1 species